rnacentral:rRNA from 1 species
UACGUAGGGUGCAAGCGUUAAUCGGAAUUACUGGGCGUAAAGCGUGCGCAGGAGGUUAUAUAAGACAGAUGUGAAAUCCCCGGGCUCAACCUGGGAACUGCAUUUGUGACUGUAUAGCUAGAGUACGGUAGAGGGGGAUGGAAUUCCGCGUGUAGCAGUGAAAUGCGUAGAUAUGCGGAGGAACACCGAUGGCGAAGGCAAUCCCCUGGACCUGUACUGACGCUCAUGCACGAAAGCGUGGGGAGCAAACAGG